UAGCAUCCUGGACCUUCCAUGGCAGAUUGUGCAGAUCAGCGAGACCAGCCAACCCGGCCUGUUCGGGCUGUGGGCGCUCAUUGGCAGUGACUUGCACUGCAUCAGGCUGAGCAUCCCCCGUGUGUUCUACGUGAACCAGCGAGUUGCCAAAGCGGAGGAGGGUGCCUCGUAUCGCAAGGUAGGGAGGCAGCUGGUGCUGGCCUCUGCAGUCAUCUGCCUGGGCAGCUUCUGAGGUGGUGUUCCAUGAUCUGGUGUGGCCUUGUGCCUCCAUCUCCUCAGUGCUUCAUUGGGAUGUUGUAGGAGUUCCUCAAAACAACAUGUGUGAGCACUGAGUACAGAGCCUGGGGCG
rnacentral:lncRNA from 1 species